AGGGGAAACGCCCGGUCCCAUUCCGAACCCGGAAGCUAAGCCCUUCAGCGCCGAUGGUACUGCACUGGGAACGGUGUGGGAGAGUAGGACGCCGCCGGAC
rnacentral:rRNA from 1 species